GGAGUCGGCCAGACAGUCGCGUCACUCGCAAGAGUGCCGAGGAAAGUCCGGGCUCCAUAGGGCAAGGUGCCAGGUAACGCCUGGGCGGCGCAAGCCGACGGACAGUGCAACAGAAAGAUACCGCGCCUACGUUCCCUUCGGGGAGCCGGUAAGGGUGAAAUGGUGCGGUAAGAGCGCACCGCGAGUCCGGUAACGGACCGGCACGGCAAACCCCACCUGGAGCAAGACCAAAUAGGGAUCCAUUGGCGUGGCCCGCGCUGGAUCCGGGUAGGUUGCUUGAGCGCUGCGGUGACGUAGCGCCUAGACGAAUGACUGUCCACGACAGAACCCGGCUUACCGGCCGGCUCCGCCG
rnacentral:RNase_P_RNA from 1 species